rnacentral:tRNA from 1 species
CGGCGGCCUGGCGUGGCGGGCUGGUGCGGGCCGCGACCGUCGGCCAGUGGGCCCGGAGUGUGCGGACCGUUUCCGCGAUGGCCGG